rnacentral:rRNA from 1 species
GAUCCUGGCUCAGGAUGAACGCUGGCGGCGCGCUUAACACAUGCAAGUCGAACGGUUAAAGCACCUCCGGGUGUGCAUAAAGUGGCGAACGGCUGAGUAACACGUGGGCAACCUGCCCCCCGCACCGGGAUAGCCUCGGGAAACCGUGGGUAAUACCGGAUACUCCGCCACCCCCGCAUGGGGGAGGCGGAAAGCGUACACGGCGGGGGAUGGGCCCGCGGCCUGUUAGCUCGUUGGCGGGGUAACGGCCCACCAAGGCGAUUAUGGGUAGCCGGGUUGAGAGACCGACCGGCCAGAUUGGGACUGAGACACGGCCCAGACUCCUACGGGAGGCAGCAGUGGGGAAUCUUGCACAAUGGGCGAAAGCCUGAUGCAAGCGACGCCGCGUGCGGGAUGAAGGCCCUCGGGUUGUAAACCGCUUUCAGCAGGGACGAGGCGCAAGUGACGGUACCUGCAGAAGAAGCCCCGGCUAACUACGUGCCAGCCGCUGC